rnacentral:rRNA from 1 species
GAUGAACGCUGGCGGCGUGCCUAAUACAUGCAAGUCGAGCGAACAGACGAGGAGCUUACUCCUCUGACGUUAGCGGCGGACGGGUGAGUAACACGUGGAUAACCUACCUAUAAGACUGGGAUAACUUCGGGAAACCGGAGCUAAUACCGGAUAACAUGUUGAACCGCAUGGUUCAACAGUGAAAGACGGUCUUGCUGUCACUUAUAGAUGGAUCCGCGUCGCAUUAGCUAGUUGGUAAGGUAACGGCUUACCAAGGCAACGAUGCGUAGCCGACCUGAGAGGGUGAUCGGCCACACUGGAACUGAGACACGGUCCAGGCUCCUACGGGAGGCAGCAGUAGGGAAUCUGCCGCAAUGGGCGAAAGCCUGACGGAGCAACGCCGCGUGAGUGAAGAAGGUCUUCGGAUCGUAAAACUCUGUUAUUAGGGAAGAACAAAUGUGUAAGUAACUAUGCACGUCUUGACGGUACCUAAUCAGAAAGCCACGGCUAACUACGUG